GCCAGGUGUGGUGGCGCACACCUGUAAUCCCAGCUACUCAGGAGGCUGAGGCAGGAGAAUCGCUUGAACCCGGGAAGUGGAGGUUGCAGUGAGCCAAGAUUGUGCCACUGCACUCCAGCCUGGGUGACAGACCGAGACUCUGUCUCAA
rnacentral:sRNA from 1 species